rnacentral:tRNA from 1 species
GGGGUCGAUGCCGAAGAAGCCGAGGCACCUGCCUGUCGAGCAGGCCCAAGCCGGUGCGAGUCCGGUCGAUCCCGCCA